UCUGAACCCAUGGAUUCAGUAAAAGAACUUGACAGUGAGAUGCAGAUAUGUUUCUCCAUCGACUUUGAGACUUUGUUUUUUUAGAAAGUGCAGACUUUUACGAUGUAUGUAACAAUUUGCUGGCUCCUCUUUUUUAUUUUUUUUUCAGGAUUUGGUUCGUGAUGGAUGUUCCAUCUGGGGUUUGAGACUUGAAUGCAAGAAAGUGAUAAGUUGGACAGGUGGUACGAUUUUCAACGUUUCAAGAAAACAUUGGCAUUUGAAAAGAAUAAAAAAAAUGAUGUACUUCAUGGAUAGAUUUGUCAUCAGCAUACCUGUAAAAAAGGUGCGUUUUUUUUCGUAGCUAGAUGCAAAAUAUAUUUCAUCAUGUCCUAGCUUCUUUCUUGACAGUAUUAGCAGUUCAACAAUAACAGCAACUAUAAAGUUGCAAUUAAUCAGAUGAACUCACUUUAACCCUGCCAGUUUUACCAAGGGAGCAUGAUCAUUGAUCAGAUUCUUCAGUCCUGUACUGGGGUAAAAGACUGCAAACUCCAUUUCAUUUCAAAUUGGAUAAGAUGACAAGGGGAUGAUAAAAAUGGUCUAAACUACAACCAAGACAUUCACGAAAGAUAUUUGAAGUUUUUUAUGGAGCUGAUAUAACCAAAUGGACUGCAUUACACACAAGACUGUGACAUCAGAAGUCCAAGACUCAGUUCAGGUGGUUGACAUAAUAACCUAGGAGAUGAACCAAAGUCACACCAAAGAUGCAUAAUUCAUAAAAAAAAAAAAGGAGAAGAUGCAUAGUUCAGAAAGAAAAAGAGAAGAUAUAUCAUCCUUGAUAAUUCAUAUCCUGCAAGUUCUUUCAACUGAUGAACAGCUAGCUGGGCAAUGAUUCUCCACUGAUCGUGCAUACUUCAAGGAGCAGUGGUAGCAUUAGCCAUGGAUACAUCAAGGAGCAGAGCCCCUGAGGAGAUCCUGGUGAAUUCAGUGCAUAGCUGGAACUUCUUGUGCAGUAAUGACUUAUUCUGAGAUCUUCCCGACAAUGGAAAGAACUCCGUUGACAUGGCAACAAGCUAAAGACAAGCAAGAAUUUGCAUCAUGGACUGUUAAAUUUGAAUCCACUAAGGAGGUAAUCAACUGACAAUUCACCUGGUAAGUAAGCUAGCAGCCUCCUUGCAUCACUCACCUUCAGCAAAAUUCCCUCCCACCAACCAUCAUACAACCAUCCGUCAAUGACAGUGCCAACACCGAUCGUAGAGGGGUUCUCCCUCUCCGACAUAUUGUGGGGACGAAUUCUUGUUCUUCCAGAGAGGCGUAUGCACAGAGGGUCAGGAUUAGCGGUUCUUGUCACAAGCAACCAUUCCUGCAGGAGAACAACCAGUUCGUGUCAGCCUUCUCAACUCAAAGUGAGCUUCAUGGACAUGAGCGGGAGCUUGCCAUCUGGUUACUAUAAAAGAAAGAAUUUUAUUUUACUAUAUAACUCUAAGUUACUACUUUAGUUCUACCAUAUUAUCAACAGUAGAAGUUACUAUUGUAUCUCUAACGAUAGUGCUCUACUAUCAAUAUUAUCAACCGUACAAGUCAUCUGAGCUGUUAAUUUAUGACUUCUACUAUCAGUAGAGGAAAAUAUUCUACUAUAGUAGUAUAAAUCGAUAUGGUCCAAUUAAUAAGAAAGAACAAAAGGUGUAGAUUCAUUCUACUACCCAUAGAGGCCACCGUAAAAUUUGUCAAGAACGAACUGCAUUUUCAGAAGUGGUACUGAAAUUAGGCGACAUACCUCUAGGUUUGCUCUUGGUGUUUCAGGAUCUUGGAGGUGUUGGUACCUCACCUUGAUGCGAUCUCCGCGCCUCCUGAUCACUGAACCAAUGAACCAACAUCCCCUAAUGCCACUUUCCUGGCUCAGGCAUUCAACAAGGCAACCAGGAGAGAAGUACUACUCGAGAUACUGCUCCAGGGCAGAGUUCAUCAGAGCAGAUGCAGGCUCUGUUGGUGCAGCAUUGCGUGCAGUGACAUUGAUUGUUGCGGCCUGAACAUGGUCUCAUCACCUGCAGUGGGGUUCUCCACAGUUUGAUGAUGAUGAUGACCUCUAUCUGAUGAUCUUGUGUGUUCUUGUUGCCUUCGGAUGCGUCGGGUUGCAUGUUCACGGGAGGUGUUCCUAAGAUUGUUCUAAAUAUCUCCUGUUCUGAAUACCCUUGCAACUGUGCAAUGUCAAAGGUCUUGACAUUGCUAUCAUCGUCGAUAUGCCGAAUGCAUAGGUAGGGCUGCCAGUCGAUGUUGUUGGCAAUUGCUUGAAACUUCUCAAAGUGUUAUUUGUUCAGGACUCAAGCCAAUCCGUCUAUGCAUUCAACUCUGAUGUCUUGCAAAUUGUCGGAGAGGAGGAUCUCUCUAUCAUUAACACCUGGAGAAAGCUGAAUACCAGAGGAGUUGAGUGUGUGAAACCAUCGUAUCUGAACCAUGUUGUUUGCAUGGUUAUCCUUGUAGAGUUCUUCCACAUAAGCAACAAGUUUGUUGCCAUGUUGGACCAAGAUGUAAACAAAAUCGUGA